rnacentral:tRNA from 1 species
CAAGUUAGAGCUUGUUUUUAGUAAAGCAUUUUAUUUACAUUAAAAAGUUGUCGUGCAAAUCGAUUUAAUUUGA